AGUAAGAAAGAAAUGUUUAUAAAGGAUCUCUAUGUAAUUAAGAAAAGGACGUGCAGAUGAACGAAAAGUUAUAGGGAAAACAUAAAAAAAAAGUUUGAGAAAGCAAAUGAAGAUCUAUAGAUAUCCGAAGGGAGACCAAGAGAAAAAAAAUGUAGUGAAGUGAAACAUCUCAGUAACUAUAAGAAAAGAAAUCAAAAGAGAUAUGGAAAGUAGUGGUGAGCGAAAUUCAUAAGAAGAAGGCCCAGAAAGGAAAGAACUGAAAAGCAGGUGGAAGUCCAAGGCAAGAAAAGGUGAAAGUCCAGUAGGGGAAAGACAGAAGGGUAAGAAAGUAAAACGAAGAAAGGAGGAAUUUGUUUGAAAAAGGGAGGCCCACCUUCCAACUCUAAAUAUGCUUAAUUAACAGAUAGUGAACAAGUACUGUGAAGGAAAGAUGAAAAAGAAAAAAGAGAAAAAAAUUUGAGAAGUGAAAAGAACGUGAAAUUGUAAACAUGAAGAGCAGUUGGAAGUAAAAUGACAACGUACCUUUUGUAUAAUGGGUCAGCGAGUUAAUAUAUGUAGCAAGCUUAAGAUGAUAAUUGUAGGCGCAGCGAAAGCGAAUCUUAAUAGGGUGCAUGAAGAGUUACAUAUAUUAGACCCGAAACUAGGUGAUCUAAUUAUGAACAAGUACUGUAUAAUUUAACGAUUAUAUUUUGACUCAACCCGUGACUGUUGCAAUAGUUUGGGAUGAUUUGUGAUUAGGGGUGAAAGGCUAAUCAAACCUAGUGAUAGCUGUUUUUUACGAAAUCUAUUUAGGUAGAGUGAUGGUAUAACAUUAAUAGGGGUAGAGCACUGAGUAGUAAACCCUAAGGUUUUUAUUUAAACUUCGAAUACUAAUUAAUAAAUUUGCCAUUAAGCAGACAGUGAGCGCUAAGGUCCAUUGUCGAAAGGGAAACAUCCCAGCUUGUAAGUUAAUGUUCCUAAAUAAUAACGUAGUGUAAAAGGCAAGGAAAAAGUGAAGCUAAUUGGAAAGUAAGCAUGGAAGCAGCUAUCUUAUAAUGAAAGCGUAAAAGCUCACCAAUUUAAGGCGUUUUCUAGCCAACAAUGUACAGGAACUGUUUAGUAUUAUACAGAAACUACAAAAUUAAAAAAUUGGUAGUAAAAUGUUCUGUUUAUCUUUGAAGUUAAAUCAAGAAGAUUUAAUGGAGAUUUCAGAAUUAAGAAUGCUGAUAUGAGUAAUGUAAAUAACGUUAAAACGUUAUCACUGAAAAUUAGAAGUUUCCUAAUAAAAGGUAAGCUGAUUAGGGUUACGCGAUCGCUAAGAUUAAUAUGAAAAUAAAUAAUUGAUGCGUUUUUAGAUUAAUAUUUCUAACGUUCUUAUUAAAUGACAUGUUGACAUGAAUAUUAUUUUCUUUUAUAUUAUAACUAUUUAUAGUAAGAAUUUAAUAUGAAUUAUAAAAAUAAAUAUGCAACCUUACUUUUGUAAGGAAAAUAAGAAAUCGUACUUAAACCGACACAGGUUAAUAAAUAGAGUAUAUUAAAGUGAAGAAUGAAUGAUAUUGAAGGAACUCGGCAAAAUGACUCUGUAACUGCGGGAGAAAGAGUGUCUUUAAUGUUGAAUUAAAGAUCAUAGAAAAGAGGGAGGAGCGGCUGUUUAUUAAAAACACAGGAUUCUGCAAAAUGGCAACAUGAUGUAUAGGAUCUGCGAUCUGCCCAGUGCUGGAAGAGUAACAGGAGAGAUGCAAGUUUCGAAUAGAAUUCCCAGUAAACGGCGGCUGUAACUAUGACGGUCCUAAGGUAGCGAAAUUCCUUGUCGAGUAAUUUUCGACGUGCAUGAAUGAUAUAACGACUUCUCUACUGUCUCCAGUAUCACUUCAAUGAAGUUGAAUUUUCCGUGAAGAUGCGGAAUAAAAGCAGCUAGACGGAAAGACCCUAUGCACCUUAACUUUGAUCAUAUAUUGUAUACAACUUUUAAUUGCGUAGGAUACUUAAGAAGCUUAUGAGGUUUUAGUUUAGGCUAAUUUAAUGGAGGCGUUGGUGAAAUAUUAAGUAU
rnacentral:rRNA from 1 species